UAGCGUUGUCCGAGAAAAUUUGAAAUGGU
rnacentral:sRNA from 1 species